GAUGAACGCUGGCGGCGUGCCUAAUACAUGCAAGUCGAGCGAACAGACGAGGAGCUUGCUCCUCUGACGUUAGCGGCGGACGGGUGAGUAACACGUGUAUAACCUACCUAUAAGACUGGGAUAACUUCGGGAAACCGGAGCUAAUACCGGAUAAUAUAUUGAACCGCAUGGUUCAAUAGUGAAAUACGGUUUUGCUGUCACUUAUAGAUGGAUCCGCGCCGCAUUAGCUAGUUGGUAAGUUAACGGCUUACCAAGGCGACGAUGCGUAGCCGACCUGAGAGGGGGGUCGGCCACACUGGAACUUAGACAGGGACAAGACUACUACGGGACGCAGCAGUAGGGAAUGUUCCGCAAUGGGCGAGAACCUGACAGAGCAACGCCGAGUGAGUGAUGAAGGUCUUCGGAUCGUAAAACUCUGUUAUUAGGGAAGAACCAAUGUGUAAGUAAAUGUGCACGUCUUGACGGUACCUAAUCAGAAAGCAACGGCUAACUACGUG
rnacentral:rRNA from 1 species